AUUGAACGCUGGCGGCAUGCUUUACACAUGCAAGUCGAACGGUAACAGGUUAAGCUGACGAGUGGCGAACGGGUGAGUAAUGCAUCGGAACGUGCCCGAUCGUGGGGGAUAACGCAGCGAAAGCUGCGCUAAUACCGCAUACGAUCUGAGGAUGAAAACGGGGGACCGUAAGGCCUCGCGCGAUCGGAGCGGCCGAUGUCAGAUUAGGCAGUUGGUGGGGUAAAGGCCCACCAAGCCGACGAUCUGUAGCUGGUCUGAGAGGACGACCAGCCACACUGGGACUGAGACACGGCCCAGACUCCUACGGGAGGCAGCAGUGGGGAAUUUUGGACAAUGGGCGAAAGCCUGAUCCAGCAAUGCCGCGUGCAGGAAGAAGGCCUUCGGGUUGUAAACUGCUUUUGUACGGAGCGAAAAGGUCCUUUCUAAUACAAGGGGCUCAUGACGGUACCGUAAGAAUAAGCACCGGCUAACUACGUGCCAGCAGCCGCGGUAA
rnacentral:rRNA from 1 species